ensembl:lncRNA novel transcript
AAGCUCUGACAUGGGUUAAAAUCCUUUGAAUGAUACUCUUGAUCCAAGACUUGUUUUAACCUGGACCAUCUGGAUUGGCUGUAUCCAUAGCUCAGAGGUGAUUAGGAACCUGGGAAGCCCUCCGCUUUUAGAGUAAAUAUUGCAACCAGAGCAGACGAGGAAAACCUACCACUAAUGUUGAAGAAACCCAACAUUAUGACAGGUGAGAAUCACAUAAAUUGGUCUGGACUGGUAGAGCUCAGAAAUGGCCUUCAGACCACAUCAGCAAAGAAAACCCACACACAUAGACACACACAGCUGCCAGGAGUAUCUAUGGAGUGACAAUAAGAAGUGUGCACUGUGAAAAUUGACAUCCUGAGUACAUAAGAGCUGUCAACAUCUAGGGGAAGACUGUGACCUUACUUCGUAGCCCUCACUCCUCCCCAAGGGACAAGAUUAAGAUAUUUAGAAGCCCUACACACUUAAGGACUGUGGUGCUUCAUUCACAUGUCAUCCUUAAUGAAAACAACAUCAGAGAGUAAAAUAAAUGUAAAGAUGUUCAGCGAAGUUUGUCCAAAAAUACUAUUGCCUUAAGCACAAUGGUAUAGUUUGGAGAUAUUCCAGGUUCUGUUCCGGACCAUUAUAAUAAAGCAAAUAUCACAAUUAA